rnacentral:rRNA from 1 species
GAUGAACGCUAGCGGCAGGCCUAACACAUGCAAGUCGAGGGGUAGUUAUCUUCGGAUAAUGAGACCGGCGCACGGGUGCGUAACGCGUAUGCAAUCUACCUUGUACAGAGGGAUAGCCUUUAGAAAUGAAGAUUAAUACCUCAUAGCAUCAAAUUUUCGCAUGAUUAUUUGAUUAAAGAUUUAUUGGUAAAAGAUGACUAUGCGUCCUAUUAGCUAGAUGGUAAGGUAACGGCUUACCAUGGCAACGAUAGGUAGGGGUCCUGAGAGGGAGAUCCCCCACACUGGUACUGAGACACGGACCAG